CUCUGAGCACCAGGGAGGCCGCACCGAGCUCAGCUGUGAUCUCCUGCCUUUAGGGUGGAGGUACUUCUGGAGGCCCCCUCUUUCUGCUGACUGCAGAGGCCAGGCCUGUACCUCCCGUGUUUAGCGCCUUGUCGAGACCAGAGGGUCUUCUCCUCACUUACUGGAAGCAGAUCUUAGCCUGUCCCAGACCUUUUAUUGCGUUCGCAUCUAAAUAAACACUUCUUGCAGGAAGACGCCAGCAAUGGAGUCCCCCGCAGCUGCUCGCUCACUCCCCCCGGUGGGAUAGGAGGGAGAACUGGAAGAGCAAAACCAAGAAAACUGAGAUAGAGACUGUUUAAUAGCGUGAUGGAAUCAAAAGAGAAAACAAUGCUUCACAAACACAAACACCAACUGUUCUGCUCCAGCAACAGGCACCACUUGACUUACAGAUGGAGGAGAUCUGCAGUCUAAGAUCCAAGAGGGUUAGUUGGAGUUUCAUGUUCUCCAUAGUUCCCUCCCCAUGGGAACUGGUACUCAAAAGAGACACCAAUGCUCAACACAAGACAUACUCCUGCUCCCAAAGUAGAGACUUGAAAGUGUUUUUAAACAGGUUUAUGAUAAUGUCAGAUUGAGAGUAGUCUCCAGGGCACCAUGUUAUACAACUAACACUUCACUGCCAAAUAUUGGCACCACAGUUUAAGCUGUGUGAUGUGGAAAGGAGAAGGGACGAGAGCCAGCACAUGCUGUUUGGGUAUCCAUUUCAGUCUGCUUCGGGCUCUGCCAAGGAAAGUGCUUACUUGGGAAAGGAUUUUCAACACCAGCAGGGAGGGCAAAAGCAGCUGUUCAGCACACACCUCUUUCAUUCCCCAUCCUCUACAAGUGCAAAGCGAAGCACGAUCUGACUUUGCCCUCUGGAGGCAUGGAAUUGGCAUGGCACAGAGAGACACAGUCCCAGAGGUUACUGAACUACAGCACUGCCUUUUGGAACAUCUGAUAGGAAAAUCUAUUCCCAGCUGCAGCAUCCCAGAAGCUAGAAGGCAGAGCAUUACUGAUGAGGCAGCUUCAUACUGAAGGAGAUGGGUUUUGUUUUGUGCAGGGUAAUACUACCCUAGUCUGCUGUGCAGACUUCAAGAACUUGAGUGUUGGUACAGGAGGUUUAUUUUUUUUCUCUUGACACAAACUCUACAGCAUGUGACUUGAAAUUCUGUCCAGUUUCUGCAUCCAGCUACUGGACAUGCUAUACGCACAUGUGGGUCCAUAGCAAAUGCAUGGUUUAUUCUGCUAGCUCCACAGGACUUUUUGCUAUCUCCCAGAUUGCUGGGAAGCUGCAGAGAUAAGCAGGUGGCUGGUGACUCCCGGGCCCCUUAUUGAGCUGGAAAGUAGGGCUGGGGUUUGUUUGCUGCAUGGAAAUGGAUCCUCUCUCUCUCUCUCUAACACACAUACAUACACACACACAGACUACACACCAGAUUUUUCUCCAAGCAGAUAAACAGCUCAACAACUCUGCUGGACACCUCUAAGCAAGCUGUGUUUCACUAGGAUAAACAGCUCUUACCUCUCCUUUCUCCCUUAAAAAAUAAUUUGUGUAAUGCCUAAGAGGGCUUUGGAAAAGCUUCUCCUAUAAAGAUAGAUUCAGCAGUGCACUCGUGACUCAAGUUCUGGAAGAACUAGCAGGAGACACCAAGACAUGGGCAGGAUCAGGUGCACAGCCAUGCACAGCACCUGCACCAGUGCAUAUCCACCUCUCUGCACACACAUCUGCCUACAUCUGUUUCUUGCCGACAUGCCCACACGCAAGCCUCAGGUCCAGCCACAAACCUGUGUGUGCUGGUAUUGUUUUGUACACACACUUGCCUGUCACAAACUUGACACAAACUUGACUUGUGGCUCACCCACAAAUUCUCACUCACAUCCUCACCCACACCAGUGCCCUUGCACACCCAUGUCCCCAUGCACAUGCACCCUGCCAUGCACACUUGCCUCUGCACACCUGCACACACUUUCCACCUCACCUUUAGGACGUCCUGUCCUGCCAUCUCCUUUAUAUUCUGGCUUGCAAGGACCAUCAUGCCAGCAGGUGAGGAGGCUGUGCUGUCCCCAGGCCUGUGGGUAUGUGUCACAGGGGUCCAAGUCCUGGGCAAGCAUUCCUCACCAGCUGGCAUGCUCAGCUGGGGUCUGACCCUCAGCCCCAAGUAUCUGAGCAAACAUGAGGCAGCUGGCAGGUAUGUCCCAGCAUCAGCCUGUGGAGAGCCUGGCAUCCUUCCUGGUUGGAUGGUGGACCUGUGGGGUCCUGUGGCAUAAGGAUUACGGACAAGCAGGUCAGCUCAAGUGUCAACCGGGGUCACGGGAGCCUAGCCCUGUGCCAAAUCGCUGCUGGGUACCAGCUAGGAGGGCCCUAACCUUAGUGCAUUCUACAUAGCGCUCGGCAAGCAAACCGCGUAGCCUAAGCCCGCACUUACUAUCUCUCCCCACGCAGAUCUGUCACCGGGUGCUUUUUUUCCAGCCUAAUUUGUUUCGACAGCUUGAUUUCCGCAAAGAAUUGUUGGGCUCCCUGGGCAACGUAGCCCGGGGCCGACUGUCCGGCGCGGACGGCAGCAGCAUGCCCUCGGACAGCGCUCAUCGCUGCCACCUCCCCGCCG